GCUGCCUAGGACCCAGAGGGAGCCGCUCCCCUCGCCCUGCAGCGCCUCCGCGCCGACCGGUGCAGCCCCCUCCUCUCACUUCGCAGCCCCCCGCCGGGGUUUUGGCACCUCUUGGGGGCGGAAAACUCCGCCAUCCCUGACCGCGGGCCGUGCCCGUGGCUUGGGGGGCCGAGCGCGUAUGCCAGCCGGUGCGCUGGGUGGGCCUGCGGUGGGGGCGGCGGGCGGCCUUAUUCCCCGCUAGGGCCGGACUCAGGGGCAGGAAGGGGCCCGCCAGGCUCUCCCAGCCCAGCCAGCGCGCUCCGACCCUCCCGCUGGCCCAGGGCACCAGCUCGGCCGCAGCUCCGUGCCCAGCACCAGGCGCGAGUGGGCGGGCCCGCGGCGCCGCUCCCACGCUCCAGCCCCUCCCCCGCCCCUUCCUUCCUUCCCCGCCGCGCUCCGGGCGGCCGCCGGCGGAUGCGAGCCGCACCGGGCGCCCCAGCUCAGUGUGCGCCCGCGGGCCGGGGGCGAGCCUUGGGUGGUGGCCCUUCUGGGCGGCUCGGGGCCGGCUCCCCGGCGGGCGCUGUGAGGCGGGGCCGGGGGGAGGAGGCGCUUGGCGGGGGCGUGGGGCUCCCCGGCGGCGGCGGCGGGAGGGACGGAGCCAGCCGCGCCGCCGGACAAUGAGCCGGGCCGCCGGGCGCUGCGGCCGCUGCUAGGAGGAGGAGGGCGCGGGAGGGCGGCUCAGCGCCUCCACCUGCGCGGAGGGCGGGAUGCCCGAGCCAGGUGUCCCCGCGCUAUAAAGGCCCCUGGCGGCCAAGCGUUCCGGAGGAGUCGGUUCUUGCAUUGAGGCUGGGCUACCUGCAGGCUUUGGCUGGGACGUUUUUUGGUUUUGGUUGGUUUUUUUGUGUGUUUGUGUGCGGGGAGCCCUAGGAGCCUCCACGAUGGCGAGCAGCACCAGGAGCAUCGAGCUGGAGCACUUCGAGGAGCGGGACAAAAGGCCGCGGCCUGGGUCGCGGAGAGGGGCGCCCAGCUCGUCCGGGGGCAGCAGCAGCUCGGGCCCCAAGGGCAACGGGCUCAUCCCCAGCCCGGCGCACAGCGCGCACUGCAGCUUCUACCGCACGCGCACCCUGCAGGCCCUGAGCUCCGAGAAGAAGGCCAAGAAGGCGCGCUUCUACCGCAACGGGGACCGCUACUUCAAGGGCCUGGUGUUCGCCAUCUCUAGCGACCGCUUCCGCUCCUUCGACGCGCUGCUCAUGGAGCUCACCCGCUCCCUGUCGGACAACGUGAACCUGCCCCAGGGCGUCCGCACCAUCUACACCAUCGACGGCAGCAGGAAGGUCACUAGCCUGGACGAGCUGCUGGAAGGUGAGAGUUACGUAUGUGCAUCAAACGAACCAUUUCGGAAAGUUGAUUACACCAAAAACAUUAACCCGAACUGGUCUGUGAACAUCAAGGGCGGGACCACCCGAGCCUUGGCCGCUGCCACCUCGGUGAAAAGUGAAGUGAAGGAAAGCAAAGAUUUCAUCAAACCCAAGCUGGUGACUGUGAUUCGAAGCGGAGUGAAGCCCAGGAAAGCCGUGCGGAUCCUCCUGAACAAGAAGACCGCACAUUCCUUUGAACAAGUCUUAACCGACAUCACCGAAGCCAUUAAACUAGACUCAGGAGUGGUCAAGAGGCUCUGCACCCUGGACGGAAAGCAGGUUACUUGCCUGCAAGACUUUUUUGGUGAUGAUGAUGUUUUUAUUGCAUGUGGACCUGAAAAAUUCCGUUAUGCCCAAGAUGACUUUGUCCUGGAUCACAGCGAAUGCCGCGUCUUGAAGUCAUCGUAUUCUCGCUCCUCGGCCAAGUAUUCUGGAUCCAAAAGCCCUGGGGCCUCUCGCCGCAGCAAGUCACCAGCCUCAGUAAAGAGGGGUGGCCCCUACUCCAGUGCCUACUCUACAGCCAAAUCCCCAGUUAAUGGAACUCCCAGCAGCCAGCUCUCCACCCCUAAAUCUACGAAAUCCUCCAGUUCCUCUCCAACCAGCCCAGGAAGUUUCAGAGGAGUAAAGCAGGUUUCUGCACAUGGCAGAUCUUCCUCCAACAUAAACGGUGGGCCUGAGCUUGAUCGUUGCCUGAGUCCCGAAGGCGUGAAUGGAAAUAGAUGCAUUGAAUCUUCGACUCUUCUUGAGAAGUACAGAAUUGGAAAGGUUAUUGGUGAUGGCAAUUUUGCAGUAGUCAAAGAGUGCAUGGACAGGGCCACCGGAAAGGAGUUUGCCCUGAAGAUCAUAGACAAAGCCAAAUGUUGUGGAAAGGAGCACCUGAUCGAGAAUGAAGUGUCCAUCCUGCGUCAAGUGAAACACCCCAACAUCAUCAUGCUGGUGGAGGAGAUGGAAACGGCCACCGAGCUCUUCCUGGUGAUGGAAUUGGUCAAGGGUGGAGACCUCUUUGAUGCAAUUACCUCUUCAACCAAGUACACCGAGCGGGACGGCAGUGCCAUGGUGUACAACCUGGCCAACGCCCUCAGGUACCUGCACGGCCUCAGCAUUGUGCACAGGGACAUCAAGCCGGAGAACCUCUUGGUGUGCGAGUAUCCCGACGGAACCAAGUCUCUGAAACUGGGCGACUUCGGGCUGGCCACCGUGGUGGAAGGGCCCUUGUACACCGUCUGCGGCACACCAACCUAUGUGGCUCCAGAGAUCAUUGCUGAAACCGGCUAUGGCCUGAAGGUGGACAUUUGGGCGGCAGGCGUGAUCACGUACAUACUUCUCUGUGGAUUCCCGCCAUUCCGAAGUGAGAACAACCUCCAGGAAGACCUCUUCGACCAGAUCCUGGCUGGGAAGCUCGAGUUCCCAGCCCCCUACUGGGAUAACAUCACGGACUCCGCAAAGGAACUAAUCAGCCAGAUGCUUCAGGUCAACGUGGAAGCGCGGUGUACUGCGGGGCAAAUCCUGAGCCACCCCUGGGUGUCGGAUGACGCCUGCCAGGAGAACAACAUGCAGGCUGAGGUGACAGGUAAACUAAAGCAGCACUUCAACAACGCGCUCCCCAAGCAGAACAGCACCACCACCGGGGUCUCCGUGAUCAUGUUUGAUUUGACAGUGUGAGACACACCUCUGAGUUCCACUCUUGACCCAGUUGAGGCUGUGGGGACUCCCGAAGCAGAAAUCUGAACACGGCUCUAGAUAAGGAGGGCCAGAUCUUCGGCAGCAAACACUGGCAGGACGGCGGCCGGCCCGGGCCGGAGCCCGCCUCUCCGAUGCCUCCCUCCGCCCAGGAGGCCCCCGGCGCCCCGGAGUCCCCGCCGCCGCGCCCCUGCGCCCC